rnacentral:rRNA from 1 species
AUAACGACUCUCGGCAACGGAUAUCUCGGCUCUCGCAUCGAUGAAGAACGUAGCGAACUGCGAUACUUGGUGUGAAUUGCAGAAUCCCGUGACCAUCGAGUCUUUGAACGCAAGUUGCGCCCGAAACUUUGGUCGAGGGCACGUUUGCCUGGGUGUCACA